rnacentral:lncRNA from 1 species
GUCACCAUCAGAUUAUUUCUAGUUUUACUUUGUUCUGCUAUUUCUGACAGUGGCUAGACUGUCCUAUAAGCCUGUGUGUCAGGAGUGCUGUAGACCUGUUUUCCUGUUUUCUUUCAGCCAGUUAUGGGAACAGAGUGUUCUGCUUUUGGGUGUGUAGUCUUUCCUAUCUACAGGUCUUCAGCUGUUCCUGUGGGCGUGUGUCCUGAGUCCACCAGGCAGGUUGCUUGGAGCAGAAAAGUUGGUCUUACUUGUGAUCCUGGAGCUCAAGUUGAUCGUGGGAGGCUGCUUUUGAGCUCUCAGUGAGGGCCGAAACCACGAGGGCCUGCACUGCCUUUUCCAAAAGCCCCCAUGCACCAGGGUCCCAGAUGGUGUUAGGGGUUUUCCUCUGCAGUCAGAAAUGUGGGCAGAGUGUGGUCUCUUCUGGCUUCCCAGCUGCUCUCUACAGAUCUAUGACCGGUCUGUAUAAGUACACCAUGGAGCUCACUCUGUCACAUACUCUUACAUUUGAUUCAGGUAGGGUUGGCAUGAUAAUAUCUCCCUGUACGCUAAAUGAUGCUCCUUUUAUUUCAAUUUUAAAAUUUGGAUGCCAAGGUUUAUGGCACCCUACAACUAGGCAUACUUCUGCCUAGGUGAAAUAGAAAGACCCACAUAUUGGCAUGAUCCUGUCCAGAUAUUUUAUAUGGGGAAGAGGGAAUCUUUGUGUUUUUUCUACAGGAUGCUACAGGAGUGUGCCAGCUGCCCGAGUGGCUGGUGAGACUUGCUGAUCCUGGGAGCAUGAAGAUUCAGCUCUCCUGGUUCGGGUCCCUGGAGUCAUUCCUGUGUCCUUGGAGGAAUAUGGAGGAUUCCCACUCAUCUUUUGUCAUCACAGAAAUCCUGGCGUUGCUGCAGUCAUUGUGUCCCGUCCCACCACGGCCUGCGCUCCGACCCUCUGUGCACUGUUGCUUGGUGGAAGCUGCUGUGGACUGGGGAACUCUGCCCUGUUUUGCAGAUCUCAGACAUGGUCCCAUUGCCUGCUGGUUGUUCCAGAGAAGAAUGACCGAUCCUGAACUGUCCUGGGAAAGACCUUGGCAUUUUCGCUGCUAUUGUAGCAGCCAUUACUGCUGCAGCCAUUGUGUCUGCAGUGUCUGGAGCUACCCUCCCCCAAUCUAUUGUUAAGCAAGCACAGCGGGUGAACUUUCUGGAGUAGUUGCUAACAAUUGGGAAUUCUAAAUUUUAUUACAGGAGAGGCUUGACUAGGCCCUUGGUGGUAUGGCCAUAACAGCUGAGGAGAACCAGAUGAGGUGCCUACAACUUAUCGGGAGAGGCUCAAUUUCCACAAUCUCUUAUAUUAAUGCCAUCUGGCCCUUGCUCUUUCGCCCCUGGGCUCAAGUGAGAGGAAUGAGAAGAUGACCUGAUGUAGCUAUCCUCAGGGACGGGCAACUUCCUCUGACCCUUGACCAAUCUAAGACAGGAACCUUGGGGGCGACAAGGUGAUCCUAUGACAGAUAAGACUGGGGUUUGAGAGGUCGAUCCUAAGACAGAGGUGGCUACACCCCGUUUAAACGUGCGGGCUGGUCAAAUGCUCCUCUGCCCAGUUUCUCCCCCAAUAACACACACGUAUAGCCCAGAACGGUGUGUUACAGCAUAAGUUCAUUCCUAGCCAUUGGGGUGCAGUCCUAACUGCAAGAGUGGCUUGCCAUGGCCGAGCUGGGCACUCUGUGAGGCAUGUCUAAUCUCUCUCAGACCACUACUUCCACCUAAUGGUUUUUUUUUUUUUAAAGAAAAAUGGGGGAGAUGCACGGAGCCAUAUUGGAUUUGGGCCUAGCCGCUUUUUGA